UGCCCCAAUUACUUAGGUUAGGGGAAUUGGUCCGUUCACUUUAAUUUAUCCGGUUAACCGGACCGGUCGAACCCGUCAACCAAAAUCCUUGUAGAACCGGUUAACCGGCUCAGCCCGACCUAAUUUAAAGGCUAGAUUUCAAUUAUUUUUAUUUAUUUUUGAGGUUUUAGAGUCUAAGGCAAUGCAAAAUCUUUAAAUGUACUCUUUUUCGUCAAUUUACUUAUUAAAUGUAAACCUAUCAAUUAUAAGUUUAUAAAUGUAGCACUUGCAAUUUAUAAGUAGAAUUUUUUUCCAUCAUCAUUAUAUUCCUUAUAUUUUUACUUUAUAUUAAUAUAAAUUA
rnacentral:lncRNA from 1 species